rnacentral:rRNA from 1 species
CUUUGUACGGAACGAAACGGUUCUUUCUAAUAAAGAGAGCUAAUGACGGUACCGUAAGAAUAAGCACCGGCUAACUACGUGC